rnacentral:rRNA from 1 species
AUUGAACGCUGGCGGCAUGCCUUACACAUGCAAGUCGAACGGUAACAGGUCUUCGGAUGCUGACGAGUGGCGAACGGGUGAGUAAUACAUCGGAACGUGCCUAGUAGUGGGGGAUAACUACUCGAAAGAGUGGCUAAUACCGCAUGAGAUCUACGGAUGAAAGCAGGGGAUCGCAAGACCUUGUGCUACUAGAGCGGCCGAUGGCAGAUUAGGUAGUUGGUGGGGUAAAAGCUUACCAAGCCGACGAUCUGCAGCUGGUCAGAGAGGACGAUCAGCCACACUGGGACUGAGACACGGCCCAGACUCCUACGGGAGGCAGCAGUGGGGAAUUUUGGACAAUGGGCGAAAGCCUGAUCCAGCAAUGCCGCGUGCAGGAUGAAGGCCUUCGGGUUGUAAACUGCUUUUGCACGGAACGAAAAGCCCCGGGUUAAUACCCUGGGGUCAUGACGGUACCGUAAGAAUAAGCACCGGCUAACUACGUGCCAGCCGCCGCAGUAA